CAGAACUAGUAAAGUCACUGAAUUCCCACUCUUUCUGACCAGAUCCACAACCUAGGAGGGAAGAAGAAAAAGAUCCAGGUGCAGAUUAGCUGAGCUUCUGGCACUGCUGGAAUAUAGAGUGUGGUUCAACCCCAGCCCAGAGGGUUCUUACAAGACUGGUCCUUUCUAGAGAGGAUAAGAACACAGGCCGCUAAGAAAGGUAUGUAAGCUCGGGAGGGAGGAAAGAAAGGGGAAGGGGGCUAGAGGAGAUUCGGACAUGAGAUGCAUUCACCCUAUGAGUUAAACCCCAGUCUCCAGCAUGGGAGUUGACAAUUCCAUUACUGAACCAUCAGUGUUCCAUGUAGUAUAACCUCUCAUGGGUUUAAAAAAAAAAAAAAAACUCUAGUGUUAUAAGCAGGCAUGAAGGGGCAGGGGGGAUGGGGGUGGGAAUGUUCUAUAAUAGGCUUACACAGAUGUCUUUGGAAAACAGAGCUAACAAAGCAACAGGCACUUAGAGAAAAGGCUUGUCCUAAACCUUCUGUUGUUUGCCAAGGGAAGAAAUCUUGGAGUGAAAUUUUCACUUUCUCUCUUGUGCAGAUCUCUGUAAGACACAAAAGUUUGGAAGACAGUCAUUUUGAUCCUUGACUUUUCUAGAGACUCAAAAGACGCAUCUGAGGAGAAAAGCUCUGGGUCCCUGGAAUGACCGUGCCACUCAACAUGCCUCCUGGAGUGGCCAAAGAGAGUGUAGUUAAGAAAAGAAAUAUUGGAGUGAACUUUCACUCACUCUCACCUUUGUAGGUUUCUCAAAAACAUAUGAAUUUAGAAGCAAGAUACUUGGCUUUUUCACAUGACUCAAAAGAGGUGUAGAGGAAGAGAAGCUCCAUCAUCCCACAGAUCUUCCAGGGUAACCUGGACACAUCCCUAAAUCUCCAGCUCCUGGGUCUUUGAAAGCCUGUUUAGGGAAAGAAUUUGUGAUUGUCUCAAGGUUGAGAGGAAAGAGUUUGGGAAACACCAAGGCAUGGGUUGGCAAAAAGAUUACAUCAUCAGUGAGGAAAUGAAAUUUCCAGAGGUUUUUGCCAGAUCUGGGACCAGAGACAAAGGCCUGGAUGAAUUUCCUGUGUAUUUCCAUAGAGGUCUGUUAUCUAGUUGUAUAGAGCCUGUUUCACAAUUAGGCUCUUUCAAAUCUGGUAUGUUGAUUUAAAUGCCAUUAUAAAUAACUUGAUAAUGUUGCCUGACAUACGUCUCCUAUGCAAGGCUUUGCUCUGGGUGUCCUUUCUGUUUGCUCGGUGUGUCUACUCAAGAGUCCUAUACAAAUCUAUUUUAGAAACACUGCUUCAAAGUCCUUCCAGAGACUCUUCAAAAUUAGAUCUAGUGAAACCGCACUCAGUGGAGCAUUGGUAGUUCAGCGGUGGCAUUCUCCCCACCUACGCGGGAGACCUGGGUUCAACUCCCGGCCAAAGCAGGCCUUCUUACCCUUCAUGCUCCAAGUUCAUGCUUGAAGGGCUAUUACAUUUCUAGCCAACAAAGUUAUUGUACUACACAGGCUGUACAGCAUUUAGGGGCCUUGAGUCGUGGUGGCUGGAAGCUAAACCUGCCACCUCUGGAAUAUUCUCUGUGCUGGAUCUAAUCUUGAAAUUACAUUUCCUCUGCUCAAAGCCUGUCUUUGAAAGUGGGGGUGUUUCCGGUGGUUUGCUGCAGUUUGGAGUACUGGGAACUAAAUAAAGCCUUUGCUACUUUCAUCUAGUCUCCGGGCACACCCCUGAGUAAUCCAAAGGCCAUCAGACGGAUUCUCGUGCUGGACUUUCCCCUACCUUAGGCCACAUCUCACUAUGGAGUGAGGAUCAAGAAGUAAAGGUCUGGGAAGGAGAGAGCUGCAGGGGCCAGGGAGACUCUUCGUGAGUCGGAGAGCCAUCAGCGGCCCAAGGAAAAGGGAGGAUCGUGGGGAGACGAGGGGAGCAGUGGAGAUGAGGGGAGCAGCGGAGACAGAGUCUCACGCACAGAUCUGGAUUUUCAUCUGGUAUUGGAUUCCUUCUGCCCGGAAGACUCCUUUGACGUUUCUGUAGUGUGGGUCAGCUGGUAGUGAAUUCGGUCAGCUUAUGAACUCAAAAGAGGUGUAGGAGGAGAGAAGCUCAAUUAUCACCCUGGUCUCCUGGAGUAUCCCAGGCACAGUCCCAAGAGUUCAGCUUUUCAUACUCGAGUUCCUGGGUCCUGAAGGCCUUUUUGGGGAAAGUACUGAUGUUCGUGUCAAGGUUGGGAAGAAAGGGUUUGGGAGGAACCAAGCAACAGGGAGGCAAAGAGAAGACAUCAACAAGCGAGGCAAGAACUUUCCACAGGCUCACACUGGAUACAGGACCAGAGACAAGAAGCUGGCAGUGUGGUGGGGAGGCCAUGGCAAUCAUUAGCUCUGGAGGCCUGAGGAGGACACUCUGAAGAGGAAAGCCCCGCGAUCAUCCGGUUUCACCCCUGUUUUCAUCUACUCUUUUCCUCAGCGAAGCCUAUAUGGGUUCCCGAUGUCACAUCGCAGCUACCGCAUUGGAGGGUUAAGAGCCGCUGACAAAUCUCUUUCGGGAAGGGAAGAAGAGUUCCAAACAAAAGAUCUACUACCCUGAGAAGCGGUGAAGUGCUCCUGGGGCCCACCAAGGCCACACAAGUCAAGGAGUGGAUGGCCUUGCCCCAGCUAUGGCUCAGAUCACCUUUGCAGGAUGACAUCUUGUUGGGAGAUGGUCAUCAGAGACAGGGCCAUGGAAGACGCUGUCAGGAGGAGGCACAGAGGAAAGGCUAUGGGAGCACAAAGCAAGAAAGUGGCCUUCUGCAAGCCAGGAAGAGAGGCCUCCCCAGAAACCAACUCUACCAGCACAUUGAUCUUGGACUUUUGGCCUCUAGAACAUUGAGAAAAUAAAAGUCUGCUGUUAAACCACCCAACCUUUGGUAUCUUUCUAUGGCAGCCUGAGCUGACUAACACCCUUGGUAGGUGGGCAGCAUUCACCUUAUUGGGCUACAUGAUGAGAAGUUAAAGUAACUUUAGCAAUAGGCACCAUUUGAUUUCAUUGUAUAGAUAUUGUGUCUUUUGCACUGAUUUUGCCUUUUUUAGUUGUGUGUAUAUUGAUGCCUGGGCCUAGCAUUACAAGACUAGUCGAAAUGGGAAGAAAGAAAAGAAAGUGGGAAAGAUACCAAGUUCCAUAAUUGCAUCCUCUACCCACAUCCAGUUCUUAGAAUCUUUUCCAAUGGAGACUGCACCUUGUGUACACUCAAAUUCAAUCUGAGCGCACAAUCAUUUAGACAACCAAGGCAACUUUUCCAAUUUUCAGCAUCACACGCUUGGGAAAACAAGUAUUUCAAUCACUAAUUUAAAUAUUCAUUGAGGUAAUUAUUCUGAGGUUGAUGAAAAAUAUGGUGUAUCCAUGUACUGUUGCCUUCUCCUGGGUCAAGAAUGUUGUCUUUACUCUGCUGGCUCACAUUUGACCAGAAAUUGGAGUCCCAGCAAAUCUUACUAGCCACUCAGGAAGCCUAUUUUAAGAUAGUCCCAAUCUCAAACUUGUUCUAAGACUUGUAUGCUGACUGAGGAGAAAGAGCCUCAUGACAAAAAUUCAACUAGAGCUGUGGGUGACAGUUGUGUGUCUCACUACUGGUCUGGGCCCAGGUUUCCCGUGAGCACCUAAUGAAUAGACUCAAUUGCAGGGAUCGUCAAGAUGCUCACUAUGUCUACCUCAUAGCCUCAAAAGAAGUGAUAACUAACAGAAUUUGUGUAGUAUCCUGAAGGGAAAUUAAUCCAGAUAUAGAGGAAAAGAUAAGGAUUUUUUAAAACAGACAUGUGAUUCAACAGUUGUUUAAGAUGCAGAAAGCUGUAAGAGACAGUUGUUCCCACUCUAAUGACAAGAAAAAGCUGUAUGGUCUGCAAAAUCAUACGUGCUUUGAUCCCACCAGAGAGCUGAAGUUGCAAGGCCCCUGAGUCAGCUGAAGUCCAAAGCGUGAGAAAACCCCCUAUAGAAGGACAAACACAUGAAGCAGUUCAUCUUUGACAGAUAAUGGAAGGAAAAGAUGGCAGCCAUAAAUGUUCAUUGGAGAAAAUCACUGAAGAUUUCAUCAUUUCUUAAAGGCCAAGUGUGAACUAUUGUGACAGAUUAGAAACUCUGAGAGUCCCAGAUACAUAGCAUGGUUUUGCCCAUUUGCUGGGUCCUUCCUCCCACGUCCUUAGUGCUGACAAGACACAUGUAACAGGGAAAGAGGAUUUCUCAAGCUUGCCACAGUGGCGUAGGCAUAAAAGUCAUGAUCACAUGAUCGACCACCACCAGAGUACAGGCACAAAACCUGGUUGCUUCUCACAUAAAACAAAAGGCAUCUACCACUGAUGUUGGAGCUAGGAACUCGUCCAACCCUUGGCCCCAGGGAUAGGGCAACUGCUGAGGUAGGGUUAGACAGAAAAACUGUCUGUAUUGGACAAGGGGAGGAGACUUGCUCUUGCCCAAGACUUCCCAUCAUUGAAAGGUAGUGUUCCGCUACCCCAAGGGGAUGUCACAGGAACACUAGGACCCAGGUAUCCAUGGCCUGAGGCUUGAUACACAUUCAGUGCAAUCAGUAAUGUGAGUUGGUUUCGACCAAUCAUUUGAGUUGGUUGCAGACCCUUUCCUCUAAUGAGGAAAAACUGUGGUGUGGGUACAAAGUUUCCACGUUCAGAAAGAUUGGC
rnacentral:lncRNA from 1 species